rnacentral:tRNA from 1 species
AGCAGAGUGGCGCAGCGGAAGCCUGCUGGGCCCAUAACCCAGAAGUCGAUGGAUCGAAACAAUCCUCUGCUA